UAACACCCCGUUUUUUUUUUUUUUCUUAACGGUGUACGAUAAAGCACUCAUACAACACAAUACCGAAAUCCAUAUUAUUCCAACCAUGCACAAGAGAAAUUGGUCCACCUUCCAUGUUCCAAAUCAAUUGUACAUACAUCUCCACCUCUACAACACAUAGUAAUACAAUAUCAAACAUUCAUAGAUAUUCAAUAUCCAGACUAAACCAUCCUUUCAAACUACUUUAAAUCACAAACAAAACUUGUGCCCUAUGGCACUACCGACGGGGCUCCGUUACCAGCCGCUCGGAUCCCAAUUCAGUUCUUACUCCACCUGUGAAUGAUGAGAAGUGAGUUCACAUAACUCAAUACGAUAAAAAUCAAGUUGUAAGUGUAAUAUGCAGUGACA
rnacentral:lncRNA from 1 species